GAUGAACGCUGGCGGCGUGCCUAAUACAUGCAAGUCGAGCGAACAGACGAGGAGCUUGCUCCUCUGACGUUAGCGGCGGACGGGUGAGUAACACGUGGAUAACCUACCUAUAAGACUGGGAUAACUUCGGGAAACCGGAGCUAAUACCGGAUAAUAUAUUGAACCGCAUGGUUCAAUAGUGAAAGACGGUUUUGCUGUCACUUAUAGAUGGAUCCGCGCCGCAUUAGCUAGUUGGUAAGGUAACGGCUUACCAAGGCGACGAUGCGUAGCCGACCGGAGAGGGUGAUCGGCCACACUGGAGCUGAGACACGGUCCAGACUCCUACGGGAGGCAGCAGUAGGGAAUCUUCCGCAAUGGGCGAAAGCUUGACGGAGCAACGCCGCGUGAGUGAUGAAGGUCUUCGGAUCGUAAAACUCUGUUAUUAGGGAAGAACAAAUGUGUAAGUAACUAUGCACGUCUUGACGGUACCUAAUCAGAAAGCCACGGCUAACUACGUG
rnacentral:rRNA from 1 species